AAUCAACGCUGGCGGCGCGCUUAACACAUGCAAGUCGCACGAGAAAGCCGCAAGGCAAGUACAGUGGCGCACGGGUGAGUAACACGUGGAUGAUCUACCUUUUCGUGGGGAAUACCGUUGGGAAACCGACGACAAUACCGCAUAAGCUCGAGAGAGGAAAGCGUUUUUAUGAAAGUAGAGACGCGCGGAAAGAGGAGUCCGCGGCUGAUUAGCUAGUUGGUGGGGUAAAGGCUCACCAAGGCAGUGAUCGGUAGCCGGCCUGAGAGGGCACACGGCC
rnacentral:rRNA from 1 species